CGUGUUCAAAAAUCUUGCACAUGCAAUCCAAUACCAGGGUGAGAGAGCAGGUAGAUGUGGGCGCGUACUGCCCGACACCCUGGGGACGAGGUUGACUAAGUACCUAUCCACCGAGGGGUGCAUAUUGCCAUUGAUGAACACAUUAUUACUAUUACUCAUAAAUAUUCAUCAGGCAACCACGACAUUUCAUUGGUCCAUUCCAGCAACUCAACUGUGUGAAAGUUUUUACUAUUUCCCCCGCGUCUUCGUACUCGCGCGUGGCGUGUAAAAACCAUGGAGGUACUAUCACACCUGGGUCGCAGCCUGAGAUUUGUUCCAGUACUGUGAUAUAUAUUUACCAACGAUGCACGCGCUUUAGUAGCGUACCGUGGAGAUCACCAGUGAGGACAGCUGUGCUAGUCUGUAACGGCGUACAUCAAAAUGGCGACCGGUGGUGCUCGCUCUGCGAUUUUAACCGGGGAGGAACACAAUAAUAACAAAUCCAGUGUUCCAGUGAGCAAAAACAUGUGGUUCUGGAUCUGGUUCUGGUGGAAUACUGCAUAAUCUUUCCAGCAGGGAUGUAAUAUGCAGGCGCGAGGUGACUAUUUAUGAAAUGGGCCCCUCCGAUAAUGUCAUCUAUGUUAAGAGAUUGAAGUUUCAAAUGGGAAUGGACAAAUGAAAUUCCGCAGCUGCCUGAUCAAUAUUUUUGAGGUAAAGUCAACAAAUAUAUCAUGUGUUAGCGGAGGAAAUAGUGAAAACAAAUGAUCCCCAAUCCCAGUUGGGAGAUAAUAUAGAAAUAUGGAAUGCUUUCGAGUGGUGUAGUAAAAUACUAGACUCCCGAGGAUCACCAUUUUAAAAAUAGAAUGCUCCACGGAUCACCGAGGGAGGUUAGUUUUACUUCACCACGAGAUAAAGCAUUCAAUAUUUGUUUUAUAACACUUCACCCACAGACUCUGCUUGAUUUUAAUAUUUAAAGUUAUUUCAAUCUGAUCACAGUUUAAAAAUAAUUUAAAUAUAAUAUUUCCCUUUCCCCAUGGACCGGCGCGCGCAGACGUAUAGUACGUUUUGCCAAUCAAGCUCUAUCUGUGGUUGACUGACGCGUUAUAAUCCCAACCAUCCAACACUUCGGGAUCAUAAGUUUUCAAUAUUUUCCCACAACACCAUGUUGUAUUUGUAUAACAUUAGUCAGUUGGCAUGUGGUCGUAUCGUGAGCCGACUGGUCCAAAGCAUCAAACAACUUGGUAGAUAGACUCUUAUAGCCUUAGAGAAGAUAUUUACCUGAAAUUAAUUUGGGACGGGUGCCUUGUUUGCACUUACCUUGUAAUAUAUUUAUUCCCAUAUUUGGGUAUAUUUUUAUUUUAUCAAAUUUUUGAAAAGUGUAUUUUGGAGAUUCUACUUACUGAAAGGUCCAGUCCAUCAUAAUCUGUGCAUUUUGUUCUUUCCAAGCAACAAAAGUCCUCAAAAUCUAAAGAAAGGUGAUGAACAACUUGACUGACGAUAAUUUCACAGGGGGUUUAGUUCCCUUACUAUUUUUCAACCAAGUAUGUUUUUCAACAAUUAUUACGUCAGUUGGUUUCGAUAUGUGUAAAUGAUGUUAUUAAAGCCAAAUAAACAUGUUCCAAAGCAUAUGAGCGACCGAAUGAUUACGAGGACAUAGAUUGUGCGCAAUAACUUUGUCCUUAGAAAUCAAGUAUAGUCUUUCCAAACCACAGCAUUGAUGAGCAUCAAAUUCAUAAAGUUACUUACUGGCACCGUUAUCCUAACAAAAAACUGAUAACAUCUUGAUAUUUAUAGCCCCCCCCCCCCGAAACAAGAUAAAUAAAUUGGGCGUAAAAUUAUGCAAAGGGUUGCUUUAAGUGGAGGGGGGGGGACCUGAACAAAAUCAAGGAAUCCCAAAAAUAAAGAUCAUUGUUGUUUAAAGUGAUUCUGUCCUAGUCAAAACGUUUUCUUACAAAUAAUUUUGUGAAUUUCCUUGAACUUGUCCAAGUCUCCCCCUUUAGGCAACCCUUCACCUACUUCCCAACCCCCCCCCCCCCCCCAAUUUACGGACACCUCAUUUUCUAUGUUUUUGCUAUCUGGGCUAAAUAUCACAAUGUUAUCAUUUUUUUUUCCAUACAGUUUUUAUGGGUACCAUCUUGAUAAUUUGACGCUCUAACUAUUGACGUUUUACAAGUUUCAAACCAGCUGUGAUGUGCACGGUGCAUUUGAGAUAUUUGUUGUUGUUGCAGACCUUUUCAUACAUUACCGUCAAUUCCACUAACUGUCAAACAACGUAUACUGUAUUAUCCAACGCUAGAAAAAAAUUUUUGUGAGUGUUGUGUGUAUUUUAACCACUAUUUUUUUUCUAAAAGGGAAUUCAUUCAUUUAAUCUUCUCAGGGUUUUUCGAUCAGCGGCCAUCUUCUUGACAGUCCCAUCGUUUUGUUUCAUCUUCAAAUUACAGGAGAUCGUAAACAAGGUGUGAAAGACAUUGGGGUCGUAUGUAUAAAACCUAGCAUUCGCUUUUACCACCCUUUGAAGCAUUUACUUGCAUUCCGGGAAUCUCUGUCUGUCGGUCUUCGAUUAACUCCAGAACCGGGCGCUGUAUGAAGUGGAAAAUCGGCAGUGUGUGUUGCUAAGGACACCAGAAUAUGCAAUGCCCAAGUUUGAAGUUGUUUGGACGGGCGGUUCUCGAAAAAGCUGCAAAAAAAGCGGAAAAUUGGCACCAAUUUCUCCAUAUAAAACAUUUUAGCCUGUGCAAAGCAAGUGCAAAUGGCGCCACUGAGUUGACGUCACAAUAACACUACUUGCGUAAAGUUUGGUAUACAAAAGAAACGUUUAUACCGUACAUGUAAAACGUGCGUUUGGAAUCUCUGUGUGUCUGUCUGUAACGUCGAUCAUCUCCAUAACCUGGCGCUGUAUGAAGUUGAAAAUCGGCGGGUAUAAA
rnacentral:lncRNA from 1 species